rnacentral:sRNA from 1 species
GCCAGGCGUGGUGGCUCACGCCUGUAAUCCCAACACUCUGGGAGGCUGAGGUCGGCGGAUCACCAGAGGUCAGGAGACCAGCCUGGCCAACAUGGUGAAACCCGGUCUCUA